CGCAUAAGGAGCAGAGAGAGGAGUGUAGGAGUCAUACCUAUGAUGCGUUGGUCUCGGACUCCGACGUCGGGGCGAUCUCGGGCUCCGUCGUCGGGGCGAGACCCGUUUAUCGGUCGGGGGCCUGCUGGGUUCAGUAAUAGCCCGAUUUUUCUUCCGCUUCUCCUUUUGACCUGCGCCUUCGGUCAGGCAUCGGUCGGAAGUUCCUUCGUCCGCACGCAUGUAUUUGUAUGCACGCUCCAGCAAUUCGGCAUACAUCCGAGGGAGGGUCUUGUCCAAGGAAUAU
rnacentral:lncRNA from 1 species